rnacentral:rRNA from 1 species
AUUGGACGCUGGCGGCAUGCCUUUCACAUGCAAGUCGAACGGCAGCGGGGACUUCGGUCCGCCGGCGAGUGGCGAACGGGUGAGUAAUGUAUCGGAACGUACCAUUCAGUGGGGGAUAACUAUCCGAAAGGAUAGCUAAUACCGCAUAUUCUGUGAGCAGGAAAGCAGGGGAUCGCAAGACCUCGCGCUGAUUGAGCGGCCGAUGUCAGAUUAGCUAGUUGGUGAGGUAACGGCUCACCAAGGCUACGAUCUGUAGCGGGUCUGAGAGGAUGAUCCGCCACACUGGGACUGAGACACGGCCCAGACUCCUACGGGAGGCAGCAGUGGGGAAUUUUGGACAAUGGGCGCAAGCCUGAUCCAGCCAUGCCGCGUGAGUGAAGAAGGCCUUCGGGUUGUAAAGCUCUUUCGGCCGGGAAGAAAUCGCAUCAGCUAAUACCUGGUGUGGAUGACGGUACCGGAAUAAGAAGCACCGGCUAACUACGUGCCAGCCGCCGCUGUAAGAC